CAUUAAUGCAGUAUUAAUUUUCCAUGCUUUUUCACCUAGGCUUGCAGUUCAGACUUCGGAGUGGUGUUGCGUUCCUUUAUAAAUCUCGGUGCCUGUCCUGCUUUUCUUUCUUAGAUCGCUCCUGUCUUCAUCUACCCCCGGUCCGUUUCCUAAGGCUAUACCAUUAACCUUUCAAUCUUUGUCUUCCACUCCAAGCUAAUGAACGACAAAGAUUUCGUAAAUGGUGUGCAUCGCAUUAAUCGAGAUGACGAUUUUGACCCUGCUAAUCCCCCUCCUUUCAAGAUUGGUGAGAUCCGAGCUGCCAUUCCUAAGCAUUGCUGGGUUAAGAAUCCAUGGAGGUCUCUCAGCUAUGUUUUCAGGGACGUUGUUGUCAUUUUGGCUCUUGCCGCAACUGCACUCUACUUCAAUUCUUGGGCUCUAUGGCCGCUCUACUGGGCUGCUCAGGGGACAAUGUUCUGGGCUAUCUUUGUUCUUGGCCAUGACUGUGGCCAUGGAAGCUUUUCUGAUAUUCCGUUGCUAAAUAAUGUGGUGGGCCAUCUCUUGCAUUCCUCAAUUCUUGUACCUUACCAUGGAUGGAGAAUCAGCCACAGGACUCACCAUCAGAAUCAUGGCAAUGUGGAGAAGGAUGAAUCUUGGGUUCCGGCAAGUUUCAUGAUUUAACAUCUAUUCAUUGCUUGGUUUAACCAAAUAUAUAGAGACUAAUCUCUCUCUUUCUUUCAGUUGCCCGAGAAGAUCUAUAAGAAUUUAGAUUUAAGUACUCGGAUUAUGAGAUACACUGUGCCUCUCCCCAUGUUAGCAUACCCUAUAUAUCUGGUAAAACCUUAAUUACAUAUUAAGUUCGUUAAAUGCAAAUGUUAUCUACAUAAAUAUGAUGAAUAGAUAGAUAGCUUGGAAUAGCUUUAAUUGAAAGGCUGAAUUUUGUUAUUUUGCUGCUGGACUGCGUUACAGUGGACAGGAAGUCCAGGCAAAGAAGGUUCACACUUUAAUCCCUCCAAUAAUUUGUUUGCCCCUGGAGAGAGGAAAGCGGUGUUAACUUCAACCGUGUGUUGGACAAUAAUGGUUAUCAUUCUACUUUAUUCAAGCUUUAUUUUUGGCCUUUUCCAAGUGCUUAAGCUAUACGGGGUUCCAUAUUUGAUUUUUGUCAUGUGGCUGGACUUUGUUACAUACCUUCAUCACCAUGGAUAUGAGCAGAAACUUCCAUGGUACCGUGGCAAGGAAUGGAGUUAUUUGCGUGGAGGGCUUACAACUGUUGAUCGUGAUUAUGGAUGGAUCAACAAUAUCCACCACGAUAUUGGCACACAUGUUAUACAUCAUCUCUUUCCUCAAAUCCCACACUAUCAUUUAGUAGAAGCGACAAAGGCAGCUAAGCCAGUGCUUGGGAAGUACUAUCGAGAACCUAAGAGAUCUGGGCCAUUCCCAUUUCACUUGUUCAGAAAUCUAGUAAAAAGCUUGAGAGAAGAUCACUAUGUGAGUGACGUUGGAGAGGUUGUCUACUAUCAGACUGAUCCUAAUUUGUACAAAUCUACUAAAAGCAAGUUAAACUGAUUCUUUGUUUUAGAGCAUAGCCAGAACAAGGAGAAUACAGUUCGCCCAAGCCAUAACUAUCAGUCACUUCAAUGAAAUUAGGCCUAAACAAUGGUCUUGUCAUUGGAAGAUUUGAUCUUACGACUUCUUUUUGUUUUUUUCUUUUUUUUUUAGAGGUUGGUUCAGACUUAUGAUUUGUUUUAUUUCCUAAACAACUGGCUCCUCUUCUCUAAGGAGAAAAUAGAUGCCCCUCAUAGGAUGCUUUUAGGAUGUUUUGGAGGAAUUUACAAAGCUAUGAAGUUUGGUAAUAAUGUAUGGUUAUUUAUUAAAAGAUGCCCUCAGUCUUUUUCCUGCCAAAAUUGGCAUUAUGCAUCUUUUGCUCUGAUGGAAUCCGAAAUUGUA
rnacentral:misc_RNA from 1 species